rnacentral:rRNA from 1 species
CCUACGGGAGGCAGCAGUGGGGAAUUUUGGACAAUGGGCGCAAGCCUGAUCCAGCAAUGCCGCGUGAGUGAAGAAGGCCUUCGGGUUGUAAAGCUCUUUUGUCAGGGAAGGAACGGUGCGGGCUAAUAUCCUGUGCUAAUGACGGUACCUGAAGAAUAAGCACCGGCUAACUACGUGCCAGCAGCCGCGGUAAUACGUAGGGUGCAAGCGUUAAUCGGAAUUACUGGGCGUAAAGCGUGCGCAGGCGGUUUUGUAAGUCUGUCGUGAAAUCCCCGGGCUCAACCUGGGAAUUGCGAUGGAGACUGCAAGGCUAGAAUCUGGCAGAGGGGGGGUAGAAUUCCACGUGUAGCAGUGAAAUGCGUAGAGAUGUGGAGGAACACCGAUGGCGAAGGCAGCCCCCUGGGUCAAGAUUGACGCUCAUGCACGAAAGCGUGGGGAGCAAACAGGAUUAGAUACCCUGGUAGUCCACGCCCUAAACGAUGUCUACUAGUUGUCGGGUUUUAAUACUUGGUAACGCAGCUAACGCGUGAAGUAGACCGCCCGGGGAGUCGGUCGCAAGNUUAAAACUUNAAAGGAUUGACGGCNGNGAGNGCGACGGACGACGACGAGGAGGAGG